AGGGGAUUUAUUUCAAUUAAUUUAUGCUUACAUAUAGCUCUAAUUCAAAUUUGAAAUUAUUUUGCAGAUCUAUUUAUUAUCUUCUCUUUAAAUCGAAUGCAAUGUUAAUCCUAACAAAUAUUUUGUCCAGUGUGAGUUGUCGAUUUGAAGUUGAUGUCGUAAUAUGUUAACCGAAGCAUUACGCAAACUAAGAAAGUGCUCUUCGAGUCUGUUUGCAUUAGGCAUCUGCCACAAGCACUUAGUCUACCCUUGAAGUAGCAGGCAUUACAUUCAACAUUUACAACUACCACGCACACACACACACACGCACGCACUCACACUCUCACACUUUGCAGACAAGCAAUUAUGUUGUGAAAGUUGGCAGCAGGUUGGGCUGUGCGUGGAGUGUCUGAAAGACUCCCAUUGCCGGAAUUUAGUUCAUAAUUUAUAAGCCGCCCACGAAAUGCCAAAAGCCCGAAAGAGCAACAGAAAAAAUGAAGAAAAGAGAGAGAAAGAGACCAGCAAAGAACCCAGAGACAGAGCCAGACAGCGUGACGUUGGCGGCAACACGCCUCCUCCGUGCAGGCGCCCAUGCCGAAUAACACCCGCCAACAAAAAAGGUUAACAGCAGCACAGCAAGGAAAAUCCAAAAGGCAAAAAACCAAAUGCGCCAGGCAAAAGUCAAAAACUAACUGCCUUUUGUUAGAGCCGCGCCAUGUGGACAUUGCGGAUGUCUGAAUGUGUGUGUGCGUGUGCGUGUGAAUGUGUGCAGGAUGGGUGUAACGACCGACGUGACAGUGCCCAAACGUAUGCAUGUGGCUGGCAUACAGUCUGUGUGCAUACCCUGUAAAUAGUGUGAUGAAGGUUAAGGUAGGUGCCAUGUAGCUUACGUCUGCGGGAGAGUUAUCAACACAACUGCAAAGCUAAAUCAAAACGGGUAUAAGUAUAAAUAAAUUAAAAUUAAUGUGAACAACAAAA